rnacentral:rRNA from 1 species
GUAACAGGAAGCAGCUUGCUGCUUUGCUGACGAGUGGCGGACGGGUGAGUAAUGUCUGGGAAACUGCCUGAUGGAGGGGGAUAACUACUGGAAACGGUGGCUAAUACCGCAUAACGUCGCAAGACCAAAGAGGGGGACCUUCGGGCCUCUUGCCAUCAGAUGUGCCCAGAUGGGAUUAGCUUGUUGGUGAGGUAACGGCUCACCAAGGCGACGAUCCCUAGCUGGUCUGAGAGGAUGACCAGCCACACUGGAACUGAGACACGGUCCAGACUCCUACGGGAGGCAGCAGUGGGGAAUAUUGCACAAUGGGCGCAAGCCUGAUGCAGCCAUGCCGCGUGUAUGAAGAAGGCCUUCGGGUUGUAAAGUACUUUCAGCGGGGAGGAAGGUGUUGUGGUUAAUAACCGCAGCAAUUGACGUUACCCGCAGAAGAAGCACCGGCUAACUCCGUGCCAGCAGCCGCGGUAAUACGGAGGGUGCAAGCGUUAAUCGGAAUUACUGGGCGUAAAGCGCACGCAGGCGGUCUGUCAAGUCGGAUGUGAAAUCCCCGGGCUCA